rnacentral:rRNA from 1 species
UACGAGCGGCCCAAACGUUAUUCGGAUUUACUGGGCUUAAAGAGUUCGUAGGCGGCGCGGCCAGUCGGGUGUGAAAGCCCUCGGCUCAACCGAGGAAUUGCGCUCUAAACUACCGUGCUUGAGGAAGCUAGAGGUGAGCGGAACUGAUGGUGGAGCGGUGAAAUGCGUUGAUAUCAUCAGGAACACCGGAGGCGAAGGCGGCUCACUGGGGCUUGUCUGACGCUGAGGAACGAAAGCCAGGGGAGCGAACGGG